CGGAGUGAGCCAUUCUGGGAGCCCCACCGGGUCUGCGUGCGCAUGUGCAAGGUGGAUCUGGGACCGAGUCGGUGGUGGAAAGCUGCGCACUGGGUCGGUCCUUGUGCGCAUGUCUGCCCAUGCGCACAGGGGAUGUAGGCUGCUUACCCGGUAGCGCUAAGCACUAUGGGUACACGUGCAGGUGCAUAGUGGACCUAAAACUCCCAGAGGCCCUGUGUCCUCCAUUCCCCCUCACCUGGCUGGCAGGAAGCUCCAGCAGACCAUGUGCAUGUGCCUGCACCUGCUUCAUGGGAGACUUGAGCCCUGGUGACAUUUGUUUCCCCCGGGUCACCCUGGCGGAGUAGCCCUUGGGCACCCCUCACCUCGAGUUGGAGGUCUCGGCUCCUCAUGACCGCCAUGUUCUUCUCCUCACUGAGCUGUGCGUAGCGCAUGGCUAAGUUGUAGUUGUCGUCCUUCACUUUGACCAGCUCGUCAUUGUAGCUGUCCCGCUCUUCCUUCAUCUUGUAGUACCGCUCCUGGAAGACGGACAGAAGAAAUAAAUUUGAUGUUACGUCAACCCCGAUUGUUUGGUGAAGCCGCCUGCAGUACUGUUUUGAGAAACAUUCCAAAGUUACAUCCAAGCUCAGUGGGAAAGCAUGCUGAUUAGUGAUGUCUGCCAUGGAUGCCAGAGAGUCGCAGCUGAUGAGCCACUUACCACCAGCCACGCUGGGGGACAGUGAUUAUCAAACCUUCUAAACUGAUCCAUAGAAAGAAAAACAUUUAACAUUGUGGUCUAGUGACCAUAAACAAAGAUAACUCUACAAGUACAUGUGUAUACACAUGUACAUAAUGUAAAAUUAAAACAAGUUUCACA
rnacentral:lncRNA from 1 species